rnacentral:rRNA from 1 species
UACAGAGGUCUCAAGCGUUGUUCGGAUUCAUUGGGCGUAAAGGGUGCGUAGGCGGCGCGGUAAGUCGGGUGUGAAAUCUUGGAGCUUAACUCCGAACUGCAUUCGAUACUGCCGUGCUUGAGGACUGGAGAGGAGACUGGAAUUUACGGUGUAGCGGUGAAAUGCGUAGUAUAUCGUAAGGAAGACCAGUGGAGCGAAGGCGGGUCUCUGGACAGUUCCUGACGCUGAGGCACGAAGGCCAGGGAGCAAACGGG